UUCGGCUGCACUGAGGGGGGGGUUUCUGUGUGCCAGACGGAUUCACUCAGUGUUUGUUGUUUCUCUGCAGUGCACGUCUCCAUGUACAUGCUGGGCUUUGUUUGCUCUCAUGCAUGUGUUAAACUGUGCAGUCACACAUGUGCUGUAUCAUAACAGAUGUCUUCUGCUGAGUCCCAGCUCUGGGAUUUGGUGUGUUGGCUUGUGCUGCACUGCUGCCACCUAAAGACUGAGUUUGAGUUUGCUGCCAACCAUGAACGACUGGACAUCUCAUAUACUUUAUACUAGUUAUAAUUCAAACACAGCAUACACAGCCUGAUCUGUGUUUCAGAGAGUUCACUUGUCAAACAUGAGGAGGAUAUGAAGAGCUCUCUAUGGGACACCACACAGUCUGCUUUUCUUGUCACUGAACAGCCUUUCGUUGGCGUCAGUUAAAACAGGAAUCUGUCUGGUUUGCAGCUUUUAUCUUCCCACUUGAACAUUUCAACUUCAACACAUCCUUUUUGUUUUUAUACUAUUCACCAUACGCACUAAAAGAUUUCUUUUUUUUCCUCGUCUCAUGAGAAGAUAGUAUCAGUUUGAUAAAUGCAUCUUCCUUUGAGACUCGCCUUCUUUUAAAAACAGCCAAAUACAGUAUGUCAGUCUCAACAUACUUCCUGCCAGAAUGCACUGUCAUCAAAAUACACUGUGAUUAAAAUCAGACUCACAGAUGUGUUAAAAAUUAUGUCUUUUGUAAGCACUCCUCGAUGGUUCUCAAAACGAGCCAUCUGUCACCAAGCGCACUCGGCGGGGGUUUCUGUGCUCAACAGGACAAAGGAGACGGUUCGCAGCCAGAUGCUGUCAGCAGAAUAAAACCACGACACAUCUGAGAGCUGCUGUCUCAGACUGAUGCGCCAUAUGGACAAAAAACAUGUUUUUAAAACUACACAGCAUUCAAACUGAAAAAUAAAUAAUCAUUAAUCUGAUCUCUGAAGGAAAAAAAAAAAAUUUUUAUCAUUUAUAUCAGGAACAAAAGUGGCAGCUGAAGGUAAAUGUUGUUCUGAAGUUAAUUUAAGUAUCCAGGCUGUAUCGUUUUAGUUAAAAAUUAUCACUGUCUAUCAAACAUAGUUUAAUUUCUUAUGUGUCACUGUUAUCAAAACUUUACAGGUGAGAGCUGUACACCAAAGACCCUUAAAACCCACAGCAGUUUGUUCUGUUAGGGCCACAUUAAAAAAGACUUUCUAAAAGAUUGAGGACUUUAUUUCAAAGAUUCAGAUUCAUUACACUUAAAUUAAAGUCAGAGCAAAGUCAUGAUAGAAGGAGAAUAAAGUCACCAUGUUCUGGGAAUAAAGCAGAGAUAAAGUCGUAGUUUUGUUUUACGGAGAGCGGCCAGCUGUUUGUACCAACAUGAGGAACGCUGAGCAUCUCGUGAUAUAGUCUAUAAUGUUUUUGCCCAUCAGCAGCACUUUAUUAUAGAUCAGAUCAAAUUAAAAUGUUUUAAGAUGUUUUAUGAACAUACAAUUCAAAUUCUUAUCUCUUUUAUGGACUUUUUCAGUUUUCAGCAACUUGUCUACAUCUGUAUUUCUCUUAACGCACAGUAGUUCAUUUAACUUAUUCUCUCUUUACUUUUUAUUUCUCAGCAUCUUAUGUAUUUCAAGAUCUAUAAAACCCGAAUUCCAGCACUAACUUGUAUAUAUACUUUUUGAUUUAUGUACUUAUUCAUGUUUUUAUUUUUAUUUUUUGUUAUAGCUCCAGAAUUUAUUAUUUAAACAAAGUAAUAGGAAUAUCCAGCUGUAGACGGGGUUUGGGGGAAAGGGGGUGUUUGUAAUGUGUCUCCUGUGUAUAUCUGUAUAAAAUCAAUAAAAGUAUUGUUGAAUCAAAAAGAAACAAACAACCAGUGCUGGCCAAA